UUAAGCGACUAAGCGUACACGGUGGAUGCCCUGGCAGUCAGAGGCGAUGAAGGACGUGCUAAUCUGCGAUAAGCGUCGGUGAGGUGAUAUGAACCGUUAUAACCGGCGAUUUCCGAAUGGGGAAACCCAGUGUGUUUCGACACACUAUCAUUAACUGAAUCCAUAGGUUAAUGAGGCGAACCGGGGGAACUGAAACAUCUAAGUACCCCGAGGAAAAGAAAUCAACCGAGAUUCCCCCAGUAGCGGCGAGCGAACGGGGAGGAGCCCAGAGCCUGAAUCAGUGUGUGUGUUAGUGGAAGCGUCUGGAAAGGCGCGCGAUACAGGGUGACAGCCCCGUACACAAAAAUGCACAUAUUGUGAGCUCGAUGAGUAGGGCGGGACACGUGGUAUCCUGUCUGAAUAUGGGGGGACCAUCCUCCAAGGCUAAAUACUCCUGACUGACCGAUAGUGAACCAGUACCGUGAGGGAAAGGCGAAAAGAACCCCGGCGAGGGGAGUGAAAAAGAACCUGAAACCGUGUACGUACAAGCAGUGGGAGCCUCUUAAUGGGGUGACUGCGUACCUUUGUAUAAUGGGUCAGCGACUUAUAUUCUGUAGCAAGGUUAACCGAAUAGGGGAGCCGAAGGAAACCGAGUCUUAACUGGGCGUUAAGUUGCAGGGUAUAGACCCGAAACCCGGUGAUCUAGCCAUGGGCAGGUUGAAGGUUGGGUAACACUAACUGGAGGACCGAACCGACUAAUGUUGAAAAAUUAGCGGAUGACUUGUGGCUGGGGGUGAAAGGCCAAUCAAACCGGGAGAUAGCUGGUUCUCCCCGAAAGCUAUUUAGGUAGCGCCUCGUGAAUUCAUCUCCGGGGGUAGAGCACUGUUUCGGCAAGGGGGUCAUCCCGACUUACCAACCCGAUGCAAACUGCGAAUACCGGAGAAUGUUAUCACGGGAGACACACGGCGGGUGCUAACGUCCGUCGUGAAGAGGGAAACAACCCAGACCGCCAGCUAAGGUCCCAAAGUCAUGGUUAAGUGGGAAACGAUGUGGGAAGGCCCAGACAGCCAGGAUGUUGGCUUAGAAGCAGCCAUCAUUUAAAGAAAGCGUAAUAGCUCACUGGUCGAGUCGGCCUGCGCGGAAGAUGUAACGGGGCUAAACCAUGCACCGAAGCUGCGGCAGCGACACUAUGUGUUGUUGGGUAGGGGAGCGUUCUGUAAGCCUGUGAAGGUGUACUGUGAGGUAUGCUGGAGGUAUCAGAAGUGCGAAUGCUGACAUAAGUAACGAUAAAGCGGGUGAAAAGCCCGCUCGCCGGAAGACCAAGGGUUCCUGUCCAACGUUAAUCGGGGCAGGGUGAGUCGACCCCUAAGGCGAGGCCGAAAGGCGUAGUCGAUGGGAAACAGGUUAAUAUUCCUGUACUUGGUGUUACUGCGAAGGGGGGACGGAGAAGGCUAUGUUGGCCGGGCGACGGUUGUCCCGGUUUAAGCGUGUAGGCUGGUUUUCCAGGCAAAUCCGGAAAAUCAAGGCUGAGGCGUGAUGACGAGGCACUACGGUGCUGAAGCGACAAAUGCCCUGCUUCCAGGAAAAGCCUCUAAGCAUCAGGUAACAUCAAAUCGUACCCCAAACCGACACAGGUGGUCAGGUAGAGAAUACCAAGGCGCUUGAGAGAACUCGGGUGAAGGAACUAGGCAAAAUGGUGCCGUAACUUCGGGAGAAGGCACGCUGAUAUGUAGGUGAAGCGACUUGCUCGUGGAGCUGAAAUCAGUCGAAGAUACCAGCUGGCUGCAACUGUUUAUUAAAAACACAGCACUGUGCAAACACGAAAGUGGACGUAUACGGUGUGACGCCUGCCCGGUGCCGGAAGGUUAAUUGAUGGGGUUAGCGGUAACGCGAAGCUCUUGAUCGAAGCCCCGGUAAACGGCGGCCGUAACUAUAACGGUCCUAAGGUAGCGAAAUUCCUUGUCGGGUAAGUUCCGACCUGCACGAAUGGCGUAAUGAUGGCGAGGCUGUCUCCACCCGAGACUCAGUGAAAUUGAACUCGCUGUGAAGAUGCAGUGUACCCGCGGCAAGACGGAAAGACCCCGUGAACCUUUACUAUAGCUUGACACUGAACAUUGAGCCUUGAUGUGUAGGAUAGGUGGGAGGCUUUGAAGUGUGGACGCCAGUCUGCAUGGAGCCGACCUUGAAAUACCACCCUUUAAUGUUUGAUGUUCUAACGUGGGCCCCUUACCGGGGUUGCGGACAGUGUCUGGUGGGUAGUUUGACUGGGGCGGUCUCCUCCUAAAGAGUAACGGAGGAGCACGAAGGUUGGCUAAUCCUGGUCGGACAUCAGGAGGUUAGUGCAAUGGCAUAAGCCAGCUUGACUGCGAGCGUGACGGCGCGAGCAGGUGCGAAAGCAGGUCAUAGUGAUCCGGUGGUUCUGAAUGGAAGGGCCAUCGCUCAACGGAUAAAAGGUACUCCGGGGAUAACAGGCUGAUACCGCCCAAGAGUUCAUAUCGACGGCGGUGUUUGGCACCUCGAUGUCGGCUCAUCACAUCCGGGCUGAAGUAGGUCCCAAGGGUAUGGCUGUUCGCCAUUUAAAGUGGUACGCGAGCUGGGUUUAGAACGUCGUGAGACAGUUCGGUCCCUAUCUGCCGUGGGCGCUGGAGAACUGAGGGGGGCUGCUCCUAGUACGAGAGGACCGGAGUGGACGCAUCACUGGUGUUCGGGUUGUCAUGCCAAUGGCACUGCCCGGUAGCUAAAUGCGGAAGAGAUAAGUGCUGAAAGCAUCUAAGCACGAAACUUGCCCCGAGAUGAGUUCUCCCUGACUCCUUGAGAGUCCUGAAGGAACGUUGAAGACGACGACGUUGAUAGGCCGGGUGUGUAAGCGCAGCGAUGCGUUGAGCUAACCGGUACUAAUGAACCGUGAGGCUUAACCU
rnacentral:rRNA from 1 species